UACGGGGGGAGCAAGCGUUGUUCGGAUUUACUGGGCGUAAAGGGCGCGUAGGCGGCCAGCACAAGUCAGUUGUGAAAUCUCCGGGCUUAACUCGGAAAGGUCAACUGAUACUGCGGGGCUAGAGUGCAGAAGGGGCAACUGGAAUUCUCGGUGUAGCGGUGAAAUGCGUAGAUAUCGAGAGGAACACCUGCGGCGAAGGCGGGUUGCUGGGCUGACACUGACGCUGAUGUGCGAAAGCUAGGGGAGCGAACGGG
rnacentral:rRNA from 1 species